GAGAGAUGGCUGAGCGGUUGAAGGCGCUGGUCUCGAAAACCGGUAUAUCCUUUCGGGUAUCGUGGGUUCGAAUCCCACUCUCUCC
rnacentral:tRNA from 1 species